CCUACGGGUGGCAGCAGUGAGGAAUAUUGGUCAAUGGACGAGAGUCUGAACCAGCCAAGUAGCGUGAAGGAUGACUGCCCUAUGGGUUGUAAACUUCUUUUAUAAAGGAAUAAAACGUGGCACGUGUGGCUUUUUGUAUGUACUUUAUGAAUAAGGAUCGGCUAACUCCGUGCCAGCAGCCGCGGUAAUACGGAGGAUCCGAGCGUUAUCCGGAUUUAUUGGGUUUAAAGGGAGCGUAGGUGGGUUGUUAAGUCAGUUGUGAAAGUUUGCGGCUCAACCGUAAAAUUGCAAUUGAUACUGGCAGUCUUGAGUACAGUUGAGGUGAGCGGAAUUCGUGGUGUAGCGGUGAAAUGCUUAGAUAUCACGAAGAACCCCGAUUGCGAAGGCAGCUUACUAAACUGUGACUGACAUUGAUGCUCGAAAGUGUGGGUAUCAAACAGGAUUAGAUACCCCAGUAGUC
rnacentral:rRNA from 1 species